CGGGGGGCAGCAGUGGGGAAUCUUGCACAAUGGAGGAAACUCUGAUGCAGCGACGCCGCGUGAACGAUGAAGCCCUUCGGGGUGUAAAGUUCUUUCGCCAGGAACGAUAAUGACGGUACCUGGAGAAGAAGCUGCGGCUAACUACGUGCCAGCAGCCGCGGUAAUACGUAGGCAGCAAGCGUUGUUCGGAAUUAUUGGGCGUAAAGAGUAUGUAGGUGGUGUCGUAAGUUUGGUGUGAAAUCUCCUGGCUUAACUGGGAGGGUGCGCCGAAGACUGCGAUGCUUGAGUAUGGGAGAGGGAAUCGGAAUUCCUGGUGUAGCGGUGAAAUGCGUAGAUAUCAGGAGGAACACCUGUGGUGUAGACGGGUUCCUGGACCAUUACUGACACUGAGAUACGAAAGCGUGGGUAGCAAACAGGAUUAGAUACCCGAGU
rnacentral:rRNA from 1 species